rnacentral:rRNA from 1 species
GACGAACGCUGGCGGCGUGCUUAACACAUGCAAGUCGAGCGGUAAGGCCCUUUCGGGGUACGACGAGCGGCGAACGGGUAGAGUAACACGUGGGUGACCUCGCCCUCCAGCUCUGGGAGUAAAGCCUCGGGAAACCGGGGUACCGUAAUAACCGGAUAUGACUCCAUGACGCAUGUUGUGGGGUGGAAAGCCUUGUGCGGCUGAGGAUGGGCCCGCGGCCUAUCAGCUUGUUGGUGGGGUGAUGGCCUACCAAGGCGACGACGGGUAGCCGGCCUGAGAGGGCGACCGGCCACACUGGGACUGAGACACGGCCCAGACUCCUACGGGAGGCAGCAGCGGGGAAUCUUGCGCAAUGGGCGAAAGCCUGACGCAGCGACG